rnacentral:rRNA from 1 species
GACGAACGCUGGCGGCGUGCUUAACACAUGCAAGUCGAACGGAAAGGCCCCUUUGGGGGUCCUCGAGUGGCGAACGGGUGAGUAACACGUGAGUAACCUGCCCUUGACUUCGGGAUAACUUCAGGAAACUGGGGCUAAUACCGGAUAGGAAUCCUUGCUGCAUGGUGGGGGUUGGAAAGCUUCGGCGGUUUUGGAUGGACUCGCGGCGUAUCAGCUUGUUGGUGGGGUAGUGGCUUACCAAGGCUUUGACGGGUAGCCGGCCUGAGAGGGCGACCGGCAACAUUGGGACUGAGAUACGGCCCAGACUCCGACGGGAGGCAGCAGUGGGGAAUAUUGCACGAUGGGCGGAAGCCUGAUGCAGCAACGCCGCGUGCGGGAUGACGGCCUUCGGGUUGUAAACCGAUUUCAGCAGGGGCGAAGCUUGUGGUGACGGUACCUGCAGAAGAAGCACCGGCUAACUACGUG